rnacentral:rRNA from 1 species
AUUGAACGCUGGCGGCAUGCUUUACACAUGCAAGUCGAACGGCAGCGCGGGCUUCGGCCUGGCGGCGAGUGGCGAACGGGUGAGUAAUACAUCGGAACGUGCCCAGUAGUGGGGGAUAGCUCGGCGAAAGCCGGAUUAAUACCGCAUACGACCUGAGGGUGAAAGCGGGGGAUCUUCGGACCUCGCGCUAUUGGAGCGGCCGAUGGCAGAUUAGCUAGUUGGUGGGGUAAAGGCCUACCAAGGCGACGAUCUGUAGCUGGUCUGAGAGGACGACCAGCCACACUGGGACUGAGACACGGCCCAGACUCCUACGGGAGGCAGCAGUGGGGAAUUCUGGGCAAUGGGCGAAAGCCUGAUCCAGCAAUGCCGCGUGUGUGAUGAAGGCCUUCGGGUUGUAAAGCACUUUUGGCGGGAACGAAAAGGACUGUGCCAAUACCACGGUUCGAUGACGGUACCCGCAGAAUAAGCACCGGCUAACUACGUG